rnacentral:rRNA from 1 species
UACGAAGGGUGCAAGCGUUACUCGGAAUUACUGGGCGUAAAGCGUGCGUAGGCGGUUUGUUAAGUCUGUCGUGAAAGCCCCGGGCUCAACCUGGGAAUGGCGAUGGAAACUGGCGAGCUAGGGUACGGUAGAGGAGAGUGGAAUUCCCGGUGUAGCAGUGAAAUGCGUAGAGAUCGGGAGGAACAUCAGUUGCGAAGGCGGCUCUCUGGACCAGUACUGACGCUGAGGCACGAAAGCGUGGGGAGCAAACAGG